rnacentral:lncRNA from 1 species
AGACAUUUGCAUGGAUGCACUACUACUGGUACCUCACAAAUGAUGGGAUUGAGUUUUUGAGGACUUACCUUAAUCUUCCAUCAGAAAUUGUUCCUGCUACAUUGAAGAAAUCUGCAAGGCCCACUGGUCGGCCAAUGGGUGGCCCACCUGGUGAUCGCCCCCGGUAAUUUGAAUUUGAACAUUUGUUUCUUAAAGGUUAUUUAGCUCUUUUUUUUCCCUUCAUGGUUUGCAAAGUGAUUUAUGUGUUCUGUUCAUUUGAAUCUGUAGAGGCCCACCUCGCUUUGAUGGAGACCGCCCAAGAUUUGGUGAUCGUGAUGGGUACCGUGGAGGCCCUCGAGGGGGUGAUUUUGGUGGUGAAAAGGGAGGUGCUCCAGCGGACUUCCAGCCAUCGUUUAGGGUAAUUUUACUUCAAUACCGUUUCACUAUAUGCAUCUUAUUUCAUUGGAGUUCUCCUUGGGUUCAAUUACCAACUCUUUGCAUCAUGACUUAUUCUCUCUUGUGCAUUUUUUUUCCUGCCUAUUGCUGGAAAGAAUACCACAUCAAUUUGCUGGAAAAAUAGCUGUAUUUUAUGCCUCUGAUUAUAACCUCUCCCAAUUUUCUGAUGCAUUUUUUUUUGGCUUGGCCAAGCUUUUCAUAGUCGGAUGCCUCAUCCUUUUUGGCCCUUCUACGUUUUCUAUUUUUCUGUUGCUGCUUUUAUUUUAUUCUUUUGGUUGUUGUAUCUAUACUUGUCAUCUACAUUUUAUUCAGAGGUCCAUUUGAGAAAACCCAUGGGCAGGAAUUCAAUUAAAAUUCAUUCAAAUAGAUUAAAGUGAAUUCUAAUUGAGAAGUUAUUUGAGGAUUAAUGAUUUGAAUUGAGUUAAAUACCUAUAAUAAUUUGAUUUCGAAUUCAGUCUAAAUUGAGUUGAAUUGAAUUGAAUCAACAUCAAACUUAGAAUGACAUCACUUGAAUGUUUGAAUUAGAUGUUAUGUUACACAUUGUCAUGUCCCAAUAUUACGGUAUUCUAGAUAUAUUCCUACUGUAUGCUACCAUGUUCAGUAUUUCUUAUGUUUGGUAAUUUUGUUAUGUUUUGAAA